rnacentral:rRNA from 1 species
CCCUACGGGGGGCAGCAGUGAGGAAUAUUGGUCAAUGGGCUUACGCCUGAACCAGCCAAGUCGCGUGAGGGAAGACUGCCCUAUGGGUUGUAAACCUCUUUUGUCAGGGAGCAAUUGGCGCUACGUGUAGCGUUAUCGAGAGUACCUGAAGAAAAAGCAUCGGCUAACUCCGUGCCAGCAGCCGCGGUAAUACGGAGGAUGCGAGCGUUAUCCGGAUUCAUUGGGUUUAAAGGGUGCGCAGGCGGGCCUUUAAGCCGGCGGUGAAAUCGCGGGGCUCAACCCCGCCGAGCCGUCGGA